AUUGAACGCUGGCGGCAGGCCUAACACAUGCAAGUCGAACGAGUGGCGGACGGGUGAGUAAUGUCUGGGAAACUGCCUGAUGGAGGGGGAUAACUACUGGAAACGGUAGCUAAUACCGCAUACCAUCGGAUGUGCCUAGAUGGGAUUAGCUUGUAGGUGGGGUAAAGGCUCACCUAGGCGACGACCCCUAGCUGGUCUGAGAGGAUGACCAGCAACACGGGAACGGAGACACGGUCCAGACUCCUACGGGAGGCAGCAGUGGGGAAGAUUGCACAAUGGGGGCAAGCCUGAUGCAGCCAUGCCGCGUGUAUGAAGAAGGCCUUCGGGUUGUAAAGUACUUUCAGCGGGGAGGCGUUACCCGCAGAAGAAGCACCGGCUAACUCCGUGCCAGCAGCCGCGGUAAUAC
rnacentral:rRNA from 1 species